UAACUUAAUGUAGUUUGAUUCAUCAUUUGUCUUUCAAGUUUUAAGUGUCUUUGCUUUAUUUACUGACAGAUUCAGAAAUCUUGCUGAUCUUUGUUGAGGCAGUGAACUGAGACUCUUGGACUUUUUGUCUCUGUGUAACCUGGUUGUAAUUCUCUUUUAUUAUAAUUACACAAAAUGUCUUCUUUUGGUUAUUUGUCUUGUUCCUUAUCUUACUGAAACACCUCUGUCAUUGUUUUAACCGUGUUAUUUUAAGAUCGGAAGCCCCUCCCUUUUAUUUCUUCUUCUGUGGUAUUGUCUUUAAAUUGUUUGCGCCCCUUAGCCCCGCCCCUUUUGACAUGUUGUCCUGCGGGAGAGGACUUGGAGCGGGCAGCCUAUAACACGGUUGUUUUGUCUGUAUUUUCGUCAGAAAUAAACCGAGAAUCAUCCGCUUGAAAGAAA